AUGCUUUGUUUUUCAUUGUUGGUAUAACACUAGUUAAUGCUAACAGCUUUUAGCUGCCGGAGCCACAGUGACGCUAACGUAGUUAUUGUUUGUUAAAUGUGUGCAAGAUGAACAUGAAACUUAUAUGGUGAUGAUAAUUUAAGCCAGUUGGUGCAUAUGUUAGACAGGGAAGAUAGUUAAGUAAGUAACUACGUUACGUUAGGAUGUAGCUUGGUAAGGAUGUAUAUCGACACCCGCCCCCGACACAAAAACAUAUCAAAACCCUAAUAUCAACAAGGUCCGAGCUGAUUCAGAAUAGCGGGCACUAUAAUGUGAUAUCUUCAGUAAGACUGAAACAAUUCCACCUGUUACUCGAGUAGUAAGAGCCUGCAUCAAGGCUAGAACUAACGUCAUAUACGGCACACUGUGUUUAUCACGGUUGACGAUUACUGUCGCACAACGCACUUUGGAGAGAGAAAAGGGCCAGUGGCGUAAAAGACACAGAGCAGAGAAAACGACAGUAAGUUUGUGAUGAUUUCGAGCAGAAAUAGAAUUAAAACGCUACAGUACAGUGUGUGUGUUAUAAACUGAACUAGCACAAUAACAAGACGUUAUUGCUUCAAUGUGAAAAGCUAGUUAGCUAGUGGCUGACAGUCAUUGUUAAUCUGCGGAUAAAAUCACAACAAACAAAUAGAUCAAUCAACAGACAGUUAUUUGCUUUUACUGCAUUUUUUGAGUAUUAUAAAUAUAAAUAUCACUUUGUGUUUAGGCAAGCACAUCUGGACUGCUGGAUAGGGUACAUCAUGUGGCACCAACAACACGCACAAUUGGAACUCAGCUUUCAAUGAAGACUCUCCAACCUCAUUUCAAAAGUACAGGCACACAGAAAACUGUUUCCUGCACUGAUGUUGGUGUUGGCACCUCAGCUCUUCUGCCGUUUCUUACAUCAACACCAAUAAAGAGACCAAGUAAGAGACGUCGCUUGGAACUGGAGGAGGAAGUGGAGGAAGAGGAAGAGGAAGAGGAAAAGGAGAACCCUUUAGAAGGCAGUUCUGUUGACAUCGAGGAGCCACGUGAUUCAACUUAUGACCCUGCAGACUCUGCCACAACCUUGACCGAGUCAGCAGAUGUGACGUGAGUUACCUAAACAUUUUACUAAUCAUUUGUGUUACAUUCUCUACUUAUUGUAGCUCUACUAGGACGAUCUUUGACUCAUUUUCUGUCAAUGUUUUGUUUUUAUUGCAGAAUGGAAUCCACCCCUGUCCAUAAGACUCCAACUUACAUUGUGUAUGAGAACUGCCUAAUGGAGCUGUUUCCCUGUUUCCCGCUGCCCUGUGUGUCAGCGGGAAUGUGAAAUGCAGAAAAGAAGAUUGGGCACGUUCCUCUCUGUAGAACAACGGUGUCCGCAUUGUGAGUUCUACAGAAGGUGGAACAGCCAGCCUCUUGUUGGAGNAGUCUGCUGGGAACCUGCAGCUGUCCACUGCAGUGUACGCCACUGGUGCCUCUUUCUUUAAGCUUGAAAAGAUAUUAUAUUUAGAAUUAACUAUGAAUAAAGUAAUGGAAUAUAGCAUACGAUGUAGCUAAAUUUAAAUACAUACUGUGAAUUUCUUUUAGAAAACAAGUGGUAUUUCUGAAAAAGUGAUUAACGUGUGGGUGCCUGUCCUGUUUGUUUCUUACUCCCACAGAUCUUCCGGGCAAUGCAGUUGAAGAUGUUUCAAUAUGACUCAUUUCGAAGGCAUGCUCGGAUGUACAUAGAGCCCGCGAUUGUACACAGGUGGAAGACGUCACAGACUGCAAUGUUGGAGCAGCUCAGUCAGCAGCAGAAUGUCGUCCUUGGUGGGGACUUGAGAGCAGACUCACCAGGUAUGUAAUACUCUGUUACUUGUCAAAAAAAUAUUUUUUUUAUUAUAUAUAAACAAGUUCACUUGAAGAGAAAUAAAACACACAAUGAUAAAUACAAUGCAAUUUCUUAUAUUAAAAAUAAUCACUUUACUUUUGAAGGACAUUGUGCCAAGUUUGGCAACUACACAAUGAUGGACCCGAGGAGCAACACUGUUAUUGAUUUACAGCUGGUUCAAGUGAGUGACAACAUAUCUCUAAUGUCUUUUGUAAUCUGUUACAGUUUAGCUCUAAUCAGCUGAAAUAAUACAUUUUUAUCUCCUUUCUUAAAUAAAAGAGUAAUGAGGUUGGUGGAAGCUACCACAUGGAAAAAGAAGUCCUGAAGAUGAGCCUUGCACUGUUGGAGGAACGGGGUGUGACUAUGGAUUGUAUUGUGACAGACAGUCACCCCCAAAUCCAGAAGUUCCUGAGGGAGGCCAACAUUACGCAUUACUACGAUGUGUGGCACAUGGAAAAAGGUAUUAUUCUGUGUCUUAUUUUUCCACAAGAGGGAAAAAAAGUUUAUUUAUGAUCACUGUACUUCCUUUAUUGUUUGUCCACACUAACAUAAUUAUUGAUGUGUUCCUGCCUAUUAUUAAUUCAAUUUAAACUG
rnacentral:lncRNA from 15 species